rnacentral:rRNA from 1 species
UAAUACGUAGGGUGCGAGCGUUAAUCGGAAUUACUGGGCGUAAAGCGUGCGCAGGCGGCGUCGCAAGUCAGGCGUGAAAUCCCCGAGCUUAACUUGGGAAUUGCGCUUGAAACUACGAUGCUUGAGUGUGGCAGAGGGAGGUGGAAUUCCACGUGUAGCGGUGAAAUGCGUAGAUAUGUGGAGGAACACCGAUGGCGAAGGCAGCCUCCUGGGCUAACACUGACGCUCAUGCACGAAAGCGUGGGAGCAAACAGGAUUAGAUACCCUGGUAGUCCACGCCCUAAACGAUGUCGACUAGUUGUUGGGGGGUUAAAUCCCUUAGUAACGCAGCUAACGCGUGAAGUCGACCGCCUGGGGAGUACGGUCGCAAGAUUAAACUCAAGGAAUUGACGGGGCCCGCACAAGCGGUGGAUGAUGUGGUUUAAUUCGAUGCAACGCGAAAACCUUAACCUACCCUUGACAUGUCAGGAAUCCUGCAGAGAUGUAGGAGUGCCCGAAAGGGAACCU